rnacentral:rRNA from 1 species
UGGGGAAUAUUGCACAAUGGGCGCAAGCCUGAUGCAGCCAUGCCGCGUGUAUGAAGAAGGCCUUCGGGUUGUAAAGUACUUUCAGCGAGGAGGAAGGCGUUGUGGUUAAUAACCGCAGCGAUUGACGUUACUCGCAGAAGAAGCACCGGCUAACUCCGUGCCAGCAGCCGCGGUAAUACGGAGGGUGCAAGCGUUAAUCGGAAUUACUGGGCGUAAAGCGCACGCAGGCGGUCUGUCAAGUCGGAUGUGAAAUCCCCGGGCUCGACCUGGGAACUGCAUCCGAAACUGGCAGGCUAGAGUCUUGUAGAGGGGGGUAGAAUUCCAGGUGUAGCGGUGAAAUGCGUAGAGAUCUGGAGGAAUACCGGUGGCGAAGGCGGCCCCCUGGACAAAGACUGACGCUCAGGUGCGAAAGCGUGGGGAGCAAACA